CCUCUCGAGGACGAUGAGCUGAUGUCUCACAUCCUUGCCGGACUGGACAUGGAUUACCAACCGCUGAUUUAUGCCCUCGACGUCCGCACCGAGCCAAUCUCCCUCGACACCCUCUUCGCCCUCAUGUCCAACUUUGAUC
rnacentral:snoRNA from 1 species